rnacentral:rRNA from 1 species
UACGAAGGGGGCUAGCGUUGUUCGGAAUUACUGGGCGUAAAGGGCGCGUAGGCGGUUUGUCAAGUCAGGCGUGAAAGCCCCGGGCUCAACCUGGGAACUGCGCUUGAGACUGGCAGGCUCGAGUUCGGGAGAGGAUGGUGGAAUUCCCAGUGUAGAGGUGAAAUUCGUAGAUAUUGGGAAGAACGCCGAUGGCGAAGGCAGCCAUCUGGACCGACACUGACGCUGAGGCGCGAAAGCGUGGGGAGCAAACAGG